rnacentral:misc_RNA from 1 species
GUAGGUGAACCUGCGGAAGGAUCAUUAACACGUUUAGUUCCAAACGUUUUUGACCCGACCUUUUUUUUCCGUGAACACAAAACAUAAAUCUUGGCUCCUGUGUGGAUUUGUCUGCAAAGACUUUUUCACUCGGGAACACGUCUCGUCUUCGGAUGGGACGUGGGCCACCACACCCAACCUUGAAUCUAAUUGUUCUGAACUCUUAGUUGUGAUGGCUUCACGGCCGUUUCAACGAUUAUAAAAUAAACAACAACUCUUAACAACGGAUAUCUUGGUUCUC